UACGUAGGGCGCAAGCGUUGUCCGGAAUUAUUGGGCGUAAAGAGCUCGUAGGCGGCCUGUUACGUCUGCUGUGAAAUCCCGGGGCUUAACCCCGGGCGUGCAGUGGAUACGGGCAGGCUGGAGGCAGGCAGGGGAGAACGGAAUUCCCGGUGUAGCGGUGAAAUGCGCAGAUAUCGGGAGGAACACCGGUGGCGAAGGCGGUUCUCUGGGCCUGUACUGACGCUGAGGAGCGAAAGCGUGGGGAGCGAACAUG
rnacentral:rRNA from 1 species